AGUGAACGCUGGCGGUAGGCCUAACACAUGCAAGUCGAACGGAAGCACAGUAAGAGCUUGCUCUUACGGGUGGCGAGUGGCGGACGGGUGAGGAAUACAUCGGAAUCUACUUUUUCGUGGGGGAUAACGUAGGGAAACUUACGCUAAUACCGCAUACGACCUACGGGUGAAAGCAGGGGAUAUUCGGACCUUGCGCGAUUGAAUGAGACGAUGCCGGAUUAGCUAGUUGGCGGGGUAAAGGCCCACCAAGGCGACGAUACGUAGCUGGUCUGAGAGGAUGAUCAGCCACACUGGAACUGAGACACGGUCCAGACUCCUACGGGAGGCAGCAGUGGGGAAUAUUGGACAAUGGGCGCAAGCCUGAUCCAGCCAUACCGCGUGGGUGAAGAAGGCCUUCGGGUUGUAAAGCCCUUUUGUUGGGAAAGAAAAGCAGCAGGUUAAUACCCCGCUGUUCUGACGGUACCCAAAGAAUAAGCACCGGCUAACUUCGUG
rnacentral:rRNA from 1 species